GAUGAACGCUGGCGGCGUGCCUAAUACACGCAAGUCGAGCGAACAGACGAGGAGCUUGCUCCUCUGACGUUAGCGGCGGACGGGUGAGUAACACGGGGAUAACCUACCUAUAAGACUGGGAUAACUUCGGGAAACCGGAGCUAAUACCGGAUAAUAUAUUGAACCGCAUGGUUCAAUAGUGAAAGACGGUUUUGCUGUCACUUAUAGAUGGAUCCGCGCCGCAUUAGCUAGUUGGUAAGGUAACGGCUUACCAAGGCAACGAUGCGUAGCCGACCUGAGAGGGUGAUCGGCCACACUGGAACUGAGACACGGUCCAGACUCCUACGGGAGGCAGCAGUAGGGAAUCUUCCGCAAUGGGCGAAAGCCUGACGGAGCAACGCCGCGUGAGUGAUGAAGGUCUUCGGAUCGUAAAACUCUGUUAUUAGGGAAGAACAAAUGUGUAAGUAACUAUGCACGUCUUGACGGUACCUAAUCAGAAAGCCACGGCUAACUACGUG
rnacentral:rRNA from 1 species